UACGUAGGGUGCAAGCGUUGUCCGGAAUUAUUGGGCGUAAAGAGCGUGUAGGCGGCCAGGUAGGUCGGUUGUGAAAACUGGAGGCUCAACCUUCAGAGGUCGACCGAAAUCAUCUGGCUAGAGUCCGGGAGAGGAGAGUGGAAUUCCUGGUGUAGCGGUGAAAUGCGCAGAUAUCAGGAAGAACACCCGUGGCGAAAGCGGCUCUCUGGAACGGUACUGACGCUGAGACGCGAAAGCGUGGGGAGCGAACAGG
rnacentral:rRNA from 1 species